CAGAGAUUCCCGAAAAUCUAAAACCAGUGGUGACAGUAGUUAACAGUCUUCCAGUGACAUCCGGUGAUUGUGAAAGGGGCUUCAGUACAAUGAAUUUGGUGAUGUCACCCAUUAGGAGUGGGCUUGGCAUUGAACGCCUGUCUUCUCUUUUGUUUAUUAGUCUCAUUGGGCCUCCUGUGCAUUUAUGGGAUCCUUUACCAUACGUCACAAAAUGGCUGACCACACAUCGCAGCGCAGAUGAUAC